ensembl:ribozyme RNaseP_nuc Nuclear RNase P
GGCGGAGGAAGCUCAUCAGUGGGGCCAUAAGCUGAGUGCGUCAUGUCACUCUACCCCAUGUCCCUUGGGAAGGUCUGAGACUAGGGUCAGUAGCGACCCUAACAGGGCUCUCCCUGAGUCCCAGGGAGGUGAGUUCCCAGAGAAUGGGGCUCCACGCGAGGGCAGACUGGGCAGGAGAUGCCGUGGGCCCGCCCCGGGUCCUAGCAGAUGCCUCCUUAGCUGGAGCUUGGAACAGACUCGCGGCCAGCGAAUUAGUUCUGAUGAUCAAAAAUGGUUCUAGAACUUU